AUGCAAGAAGGGAACCCACUGGCUUUCCUCAGCAAGGCUCUGGGACCCAAAAACAGAGGUCUAUCAACUUACGAGAAGGAAUUCAUGGCCAUCCUCAUGGCAGUGGACAAAUGGCGCUCAUAUUUGCACGGGGCAGAAUUUAUCAUUCGCACGGAUCAAAGUGCUUUGGCACAUUUGAGUGAUCAACGGCUGGUCACACCAUGACAGCGGCGUGCUUACACAAAACUGAUGGGGCUGCAGUAUAAAAUUGUGUACCGUAAGGGAGUGGAGAACAACACUAGUAGAAAAAGGGCCUUUAGUCCUGGUUCAUAA
rnacentral:rRNA from 1 species